AUUGAACGCUGGCGGCAUGCUUUACACAUGCAAGUCGAACGGUAACAGGGUGCUUGCACCGCUGACGAGUGGCGAACGGGUGAGUAAUACAUCGGAAUGUACCCAGUAAUGGGGGAUAACGCUUCGAAAGGAGUGCUAAUACCGCAUACGCCCUGAGGGGGAAAGUGGGGGACCGCAAGGCCUCACGUUAUUGGAGCAGCCGAUGGCUGAUUAGCUAGUUGGUGAGGUAAAGGCUCACCAAGGCGACGAUCAGUAGCGGGUCUUAGAGGACGAUCCGCCACACUGGAACUGAGACACGGUCCAGACUCCUACGGGAGGCAGCAGUGGGGAAUUUUGGACAAUGGGCGAAAGCCUGAUCCAGCCAUGCCGCGUGUCUGAAGAAGGCCUUCGGGUUGUAAAGGACUUUUGUCGGGGAGGAAAUCCCCAGCGUUAAUACCGCUGGGGGAUGACAGUACCUGAAGAAUAAGCACCGGCUAACUACGUGCCAGCCGCCGCGGUAAGAC
rnacentral:rRNA from 1 species